rnacentral:rRNA from 1 species
CCUACGGGAGGCAGCAGUGAGGAAUAUUGGUCAAUGGUCGGGAGUCUGAACCAGCCAAGCCGCGUGAGGGAUGAAGGUCCAGAGUAUCGUAAACUUCUUUUGUCAGGGAAUAAAGGCGGGGACGUGUCCCCGGAUGAGUGUACCUGAAGAAAAAGCAUCGGCUAACUCCGUGCCAGCAGCCGCGGUAAUACGGAGGAUGCGAGCGUUAUCCGGAUUUAUUGGGUUUAAAGGGUGCGCAGGCGGAAUGGUAAGUCAGCGGGAAAAAUUUGGGGCUCAACCGCGGACAUGCAGUUGAUACUGGCAGUCUUGAGUGGAGGAGAGGUAGGCGGAAUGCGUGGUGUAGCGGUGAAAUGCAUAGAUAUCACGAAGAACUCCGAUUGCGAAGGCAGCUUACCG